AAACCAACAUUUGAAAAUGCACCAAACAUGCUAAACAGGAAUGAGAUGAAAUGUGUGUUAUAUUCUUGUUAUUCCUAAUUCUGUUUUUAGCUACACAAACAUCAAUUAUCACCCAGACACCUGGGGUGGUGAUGGUGAAGGCUGGUGAUACAGUGACCUUGAAAUGCCAUUUGAGUGAGCUUAUGACCUACUGCUUCUCUGUGAGUUGGACAAAAGUGGACCCCAGGACUGGAACACAGUGCUUGAGUACAAACUUAAAGGUUGAUAACAUUUCAGAUGAAGGGAAUUGGGACAAACAAUGUUCUGCUACAAUCACCAAUGCAAAAGUGAGCGACUCUGGCAUGUACUACUGUUUGGCGGUCCACUCCCAAAUGGUGCACACUGGCAAUGGUUCUAAAGUUAUUAUUUUGGCAGAAAGAGUGAGGGAAGGGAACAGUGCUGAAGCCCCAACCAUCCAAAUCGUCUCUUCGCCAGAGGUUGACGGCUUCUUCAUCCCUCUCCUGUGUUUGGUGUUGGAAGUGGUCCCGUCUCAGGUCCGUGUGUUCUGGCUCAUAGACGGGAGAGAAGAGAGUGGACUCACUGACUCCACCUGGACAAACAACAGCGAUUCAGCCACAGAGUUCACUAGGAACCAGAUUCUGGUCCAGGCAGAGGAGUGGGACAGACGAGCAGAGUUUACAUGUGUGGUGGAGUUUGAGGGGCAAAAUAUCACCAAAACACUGCUGCAGCGCAAUGAUUCCAAUGCCAUGUGCACAAUGCUGAUGUAUGGGACCUCUGCAGCUGCUCUCCUCACCAUAAUAGUUGCCGUCACUAUCGCUGUGUGUCUGCACCGGCAUCCCGUGUUUAUUAAUGCAGAUGGAAGACAAAGAGGCACAUGCACUGAGAACAGACAGGAUCAAUCUGGGAGACGUGGAGAAGCAAGAAAGGCAGUUAGAUCAUCCGUCUCGGAGGUCCAGUAUGCGACUUUGGACCAUAUACAUUUUGGGAGACUCACAAAUACAGUUCUCCAAUCAGAUUUUGACAAAGAAAUUGCAUAAGAGUUCCAUGUAUUUGUUCAUGAUGUAGAUGCUUAUAAACUGCCACUGAUAAAAAAAAAAAAGAUUAUUAUGUAUGUAUUUGUGUAUAAAGCAAGAGCCAGUGUCCGCAAUUGCAAAGUGCCCCAGAGCCAAUGGUGCGGCACAGAGCUCUUUCUUUUAUAUUGGAAUUCAACUGUGGAAUAGCCUUCCAUUAGCCAUUAAACUGGCCCAGUCCAAAAAGGUUUUCAGAGGUCAGGUUAGAGCCCUUCCAUCAGAAAAAGUGUACAGGCCUACAUAGGAAAAUGACUGAAAUAGUCUUGAAUUUUGUAUUGAUUAUGUAUUUAUUAUGGUGUAGGCUAGUUAGCUGCCUAUCAUAGGCCCAUGUCACAGGAGGUUGGUGGCACCUUAAUUGGGGAGGAUGGGCUCGUGGUAUUGGCUGGAGUGGAAUGAAUUAAAUGGUAUCAAAUACAUCAAACACAUGGUUUGAUGCCAUUCCAUUUGAUCCUAUGUGUUCUUACGCUAUUGUGUGUCAUCCUCUGGGAUUCUUUGUACUUUUAAAACUGUA